CUUCGUUUUCCCAUGACCGAAGAUGCUGUUUUGGUGCUAGUUGCAAAUUGCUUUAAGGGCAAUGGUGAUCUGGAUUCUUUCCCAGUUUCACAGCUACGUUCAAAUGCGGAAAUUCAGCUAAACGGCACGUCUGUUUGGUACUUGAGGCAGAUGAGCCAUCGACAACAUCCCCAUUGUGUGUCCAGGAGUACAGAGAGGCCUGUCGUCUCUCCUGUUCUCUCAUGGAGUAACUUCAAGCUCAGCACAAUGGCUCUGCAUCUGGGUCAUUCGGCCUGGCUGGCACACAGAACAAAGGGCUUUCAUUCAUGGAUGAAACAUAACUAUGGCUGCAGGGAUGGGAGAUGGGACAUGGCAGAACACUUAAAAGAUUAUGUGCCUUUUUAACUACUUAAAUAAAUCACUCUGUGGCCUUGAAAAGACGUUUUUAGACAACUGCAUGGCAUUAAACAGCUGCUCAGCAGGGACAGAUUAGGACCAAUAAUACCCCGUAACUGUAAAUAACAAAAGAACGACUUCUGACCCCAUCGGAACAAUCCACAACUAACCCUUUUUAGAUGCUCUAAUCAGUUUUAUUUUUUUAUGCAUGAUCUUCUUUUCCCAGAUAAACAUUUAACAAAGAUCCUGUUCCAGGGCAUUAUACCAAGAAUGUCAGAUCGACCCAAGAGCAUCCUAUUAUAUCUGACAUUUACCACAAAAUACACACAAAAAAAUGCAAUGCGGCCCAUGUUACAAAAAAACCCACUGGUUAAGUUAAACCUUUUUAGUUACUCAUUAUGACAGAAAUCCCCAGGAAAAAGCUGCCCCUCACUGUCAACAAAAAGAUGAUGUGCUAAGUUGUGAUUCACACAACUAAGAGAGAUACACAACUAAGAGAUAUUUAAAUCUGAAUAUAACAAUAAGAUCUAUAAAUCUAUUCCUUUAAACACUGCAACUGAAUUCUCUAGGGUUGUUAGUAAGGCUAGAGUGUGGUUUUGUAAAGUGUGUCUUAUUGCAUCAUAUUAAUUUGUGAGGAAAAUUAUGGACUCCAAGAAAAUUAGACAUGCACUGAUGGAUCAUAUAAUAAAAACAAAAAAAAGCAGUUUUUCCCUCUCAUUUCUGAAACUCUUGAGGAUGCUGUUUCUGACUUUUUCACACAGAAUAACCUUCUGAAUCCUUAUCAGUCUGGCUUCAAAGCUGAGCACUCCACCGAGAUUACCCUGCUGAUUGUUGUGGAUGCCCUGCAAUCUGGUAAGAGCUGCAUUUAAAUUACCUGUUAUCAUUCGGGUGGACUUAACUGCACACUUCUGCAUGGUGAACCACCACGUACUUCUGUCCACCCUCUCGCCCCUUAGCAUCACAGGGGCAGCUCUGUUUAAUCAUCAGGAGCAUCCUUCCAAAUGUCUUGGGAAUAAGAGGUAUCUAAGAGUGUCAGGUCACUGAUGUGCUUCAAGGUUCAGAUCCUGACCCCAUUCUCUUUUCACUGAACACCAACUUUCUUGUUCUGGUCAUCCAGUGUUUUUCUUAUUUUUAGCACUAUUGCACUGAUAACUUCUAACUUUAUCUGACCUUUCCUUCCAGUGGACAUCGCAUUCUCAGUCACAGUCCCAUGUGCCACACUG